ensembl:lncRNA
GCUGUGAACACUUUCAAGAAAGAGCGAGGCUACAACAAAAGUCUGACAGGAAGCUGUGGUACCUCCCAGUCCCAAAAUCUCACCCCAACACAGAGCCCUGUGCCCACACCGCCCCCCCUCACUGUGCUGAGCCAGCCUCAGAGGCCGAAGAGCAGCCAGCAGGAUCCUCUGCUGUACCGCCCACAGGCCGCAGACACACCACAACUAUCUGGAAAUCCUCCUGUGGCAACAGGCCCCGCCUCUGCUUGCAACACGGCCAACACCUCCCUCAAGAAGGAGCAAAGCUGUCUGGAGAUACCUGACAAGUAUGUAAACACGUGAAUUCACUGAUGAAAAAUCCCGUUGAGAACGGUGAUAUAACAUGCAUAUGAUAUAUUGCUUUGUUGGUGGAUUUUUGGUGUGUAAAUUAUGUUUCACUCCUUUGUGAUGCCUCUGCUGCCUCGUUUGGGUUUUCAGGAAGCAUCUGAUUCCCUACAUUUUAUGUCUUGGUACUGACACAUUGUCCAAAGGUAGCAAAAAAAGUUUCUCUUUUCAGAUGUUUUGGAGUGGUAAUUAUUCAGUUCCUCCCUUUAACUUAUUUCCUUUGAAACUUAUUUGAAACAGCGGAAAGAAGAAAGAGAUUAUGAAUUGGCACAAUAUCUGUGUGAGAUAGAAAGCAGAGGCAGAUCCUGACCAGUACACACUCAGUGACUACAAACAGGCAAAUAAACACGGAAGUGAAACAUUUGGUUCUGUCUAUUGAUCCAAUCCGACCAACGCUGUAUCUGCUCUUUAUGCAGGGAGGCUGAAGGAGAGAAACAGAAACAGGAUGACGCAGCGGCUGCUGCUGCCGCUGCUGCUGCCGCUGCUGCUGCUGCUGCUGCUGCUGCCUCCCCUUGUCUACCGGAUUCAAACAAAGACCCCACUGCUGCUCCUUCACGGCUGAUGUCAUUGGUUAACCACACAACAGUGGCAGAGCAGCCACAGACAGUCAUUGUGAAUCAACAGCAGACGUCUUUAGGUUCAUCACCAAGACCCCCGGGUCCAUCAUCUUGCUGGGGCAGCUCCUCUUACUCCUCGGGUUGUCCCACCGGAAGCUGGACUGAAUCCCAGCAGCCCUCUUCCUCCCCCUCCUCAGCAUAUCCAGCGCCUAUUCCACCUCUAUUUCCCUCCCCCCUUUUUCACACAUACCUCUCGGCUCACCAGUCCCACAGCGGUUACCCUCCUGGAUACCCACCUACCACGCCCAUCUGGACUCUCCCAUGCCCCCAGGGUGCCCCCAUCCCUUCCCCCUGCUCCUCUACCUCCACCUCCUCCAUUCCUCCCCUCGGCUCCAAGGACUGGUACUUGCAUCAGAGAAAGAAGAAGGAAAGGUCGCCUCACAGAGGAUCUGCCUACAGACGCUCCUCGUCUCGCUCUAAUUCAAAGUCUUCUAAGUCCAAGUCUUCUCGUUCCUACUCUCACUCCUCAAGCAGGUCCAGAUCCCGUUCGCGAUCCAGAUCCCAAAGCAGAUCAAGGCCCCGCUCACCUUACUCCCAUCAAAGAGAUCCCCACAGCCGCUCUCAUGCCUCUUAUAGCUAUGGCUACAAACGCUCCCCGACACCGUCCUCAUCAUCUUCACCUCACGUUGGUCCCCAAUCCAGGUCCAAGUCGCCAUCGGAUCACCACAAAAACCGCCACCACAGCCGCAGUCACACCAAGAAGUCUGCUUCGAGCAGCUACAGCUCCACGAGGCGAGCAGAAUGCUCAGGGAGGGAAGUGGGAGGCUUCGGGGCGAGUUUAACCGGUUCCCAUUAUACCCAGCCAGCAAAUCAAAAAAGCAGUCAGGAGCUGGACAGGGAGCGCUACCUACAGUGGAAGAAACAGUACAAAGACUGGUGUGAGAAAUAUUUCAGCAGGUAUGUCGGCCACUUCCAUCAGCUGCCUCUUCCCUUCAUCAAUCUUCCUCCUCCUCCUCUGUGGGAAGGAAACAAAUAUCCCCCUCAUGCCAACUUGGACUCUCGCUACCAGAGCGCUGCCUGGAUGGACGGACGCUCCCCUCCAUCACAGUCAUCCAGUGACAGUCGCUCACCUCCAUCUCAUUCCUCAAGUGAAAGCCGCUCCACGCCGUCUCAGUCGUCCAGUGACAGUCGCUCCCCUCCAUCUCAUAUGUCCAACAACAGCCGUUCCCCUCCCUCUCGGUCGUCUAGCGAUGGUCGCUCUACACCGUCCAAAGACAGGACUGAGCCGGGGGCACAUCAACAACUGAAGGACGGUGACCUGCCGUUCACUUUUACAAAGGGCAGUAAGGAGGUGGAAGUCCAAGAAAGAAGCAAUGAUGACAAGCGGGUGAUCGGUAGAAAUCCAGAGGACCUCAGCAUCGUAAAAAAUGAGCAAAGGAGGACAAAGAAACAUGAGGGUGGAAGAGAAGAGGAGUCGACGUCCCGUGAUGCUGUAGACUCAACAGAGGAUACCCGAAAGGAUGAGAGGGGGCACGACACUGGACCACAUGCCCGCAAGGAUGGCACCUCAGUAAGGGACAAGGCGACCUUUCACCCUUCUCUGAAACCAAAUUUAGAAGGAGAGAAAGGGAGGAGAAGAGGUCAAGAUUCAGACUCCAGACAAGAUGUGGAGAGACAGCGCAAACUAAAGUCCAAUAAAGAGGCAGGUAGAAACGAAAAUCCUGGAGGCAGCAAAGCGGCGGUCUUAAGCUCAGAGAAGAUUAGAAAAAGAAAAGGAGAGAACCUGGAGCAAAAGGAAACCCGCAAAAGUGAAUCCCUCGAUCCAUCUGACAGAAAGAAGCCAAAAUCCGAACAGAAAAAGGAAGGUAAAGCAUGGCCGCUGAGAGAGAGGGACAUCUGGGAGGGAAAAAUAACCGUGAAACCACAGAAGAAAAUAAGCAUCAACAUCAACCUGGAUGGGAAAAGGAAGGAGGAGAAAACUGAAACACAGGAGAAUAUCAUAGGAAAAUCAAAGGAGGAAAUGGAGAAUAUUGGUGAUAGAGAAGGGAAGUUACGCAGAGGAGACACCGGGGUUGAAGUUAAUGAAAAGAAGGAAUCCAGCAGAGAAAAGGAAGGUGUGUUUGAAGAAAAAAUAAAACCAGAUGAAGGAGACGCAAAGCAGUUAUUGGACAUCCCUGCCAUCAGAGUUGACAAGAGAGGGAUGUGGGUUAACAUAGCAGCAAAGAAAGAAGAGGUUGUAGGAAAGAAAGCGGAAGGAGAAGAUGAAGACUUUGACUUAUGGCAUAGUGCCCUACUCUCCAAGGAGGAGAAGGAGAGUAAAAAUCAAUGGGAGGAAGCAGGCGGGAUGAAGCCCAGCAAAAGUGAAGAGCUGACAAGAGACGAGAGGAGGAGCACGACUGGAAAAGAGGAGGAAGAAGAGAGAGCAAGGAAAGAAAGUGGAGGCCAAAAUUCUGAGAAUGUGAGGGAAAGCACAUGCGCGGAAAACGCGAGAAACUCGCUGGAGGUGUCGAAGCCAGACGAGGCGCUGAUGGAGAGAGUGAAGAGGUGGAAGGAGGAAGAAGAAGAAGACACAAUGAGGUUCAACUCUCAGAGGAGCAGCAGCGAGAGCCACGAUGACAGCAGCUGCGAGGAUGAGCAGGAGAGGAGGACGGUGGGGAAAAAUCUGGAGGAAUACAUCCAGGAUAGAGUGGCCAAGGCCGAGGAUCAGCUGGUACUCUUACAGGUCCCUCUCUCCAAAUGGGAGAAGGUAGAGUCUGAGGAGGAAGAGCGGAACGAAGAAGAGGUCAAAGCUCAAGAGCCUCUGUCUGUGGUUCUGCCUCCACCAUUAGCGAUCUCAAGCAACAGAGAGACAGAGGGAGAGAGUGAGCAAAAGAGACAGAGGUCAGUUGACGUAAAGAGAGACGGGGACAGAGUGACACUGAGAGGAAUGGAUGGGGAGAAAGGGCAGAGCUUCACUCUGCCCAGUUUAGAAAGAAUUGUGGCUCCCUCUAGUGGCAAAGAUACGAGCGACAGCGCCUUGGGUACAGACAGGGAGAGGGGGAGGGAGAGAGAGAGGCCAAGGGAUAGAAAGAAAGAGACCAAAAGAUCAAAAGAGAGGACCAAUGAGGAAGAAAGGGGGAGGGACAGAGGGAGAGACAGGGGGCACAGCAGCAACGCCUCGGUCCAAAAGAAGAAUCUCCCUUCCUCCGGUCACUCAACGUCAAAGGACAUGGAGAGGAGGGACUGGCAGCGAGGACGCCACCACGAGAAGAGUUCAGACUCCUCACGCCCUGACGGGAAACACAGUGUUAGCAGGGAAAGAAGCUCGAUAAGCAGAGCUGCAGAAUUGCCUGAUAAACAUACACACAAAACAUACAGAGACACAUUACUGGACUCAAAGCGUCAUGACAGCAACCCUCCCCAUGACUACCAUGGUCACCGGUAUCCAGCAGGGAACCGACACCAUGACAGACCUGCAGGGACUCACCACUCCUCACCUUCCCUCUCCCACGGCCAGGGUAAGGAGGGAGUCCCAUUCCCCUCCAGAGUGUGCAGCCCCGGUCGGAAGUUAAUGCAGAACAGAAGUAGAAAUGAGGGCAAGGAAUAUAAGGGGGAGUGGAAGACAAACAACGUGGAUAAAGUGAUAAAAGAAAGCAAAGGGCAGAGAGAGAAGAGAGUAGUGGAGGCGGAGACAGAAGGAGGGAAUCAAUGGCAAGAUGAGGUUCAUAAAAUGUCCGCAGAGACCAAGUGGGAAGGACAAAGGGAGCUGGUGGAGGGAGAGGGGCCCAGCAGCAGCAGCAGCAGCAGCAGCAGCAGCAGCUCAUCAGCAAGCCAUGAGAGCAGCAAGGACGACAGGAGGAAAGAGGGCACGAAGAAACAGAAAAGGGAGACAAGCAAAUCCUCCCCGGAGCUGCUGGAGGAGUGGGAGCUGAAGAAGCACAAGAAGAAGUCAAAGAGAGACAACGACGGGAGGGAGGAGGAGAGUGGAGGAGAGGUGGACGACUGGUGGAAAGAAGUUAUGUCAUCUUGA